rnacentral:rRNA from 1 species
CACGUAGGGGGCAAGCGUUGUCCGGAUUUAUUGGGCGUAAAGAGCUCGUAGGUGGUUCGGUAAGUCGGGUGUUAAACCCCCAGGCUCAACCUGGGGACGCCACUCGAUACUGCUGUGACUAGAGUCCGGUAGGGGAGCGUGGAAUUCCUGGUGUAGCGGUGAAAUGCGCAGAUAUCGGAAGGAACGCCGGUGGCGAAAGCGGCGUGCUGGACCUCUUCUGACGCUGAGGCGCGAAAGCCAGGGGAGCAAACGGG